rnacentral:rRNA from 1 species
GGGGAAUAUUGGACAAUGGGGGAAACCCUGAUCCAGCCAUGCCGCGUGAGUGAUGAAGGCCUUAGGGUUGUAAAGCUCUUUCACCCACGACGAUGAUGACGGUAGUGGGAGAAGAAGCCCCGGCUAACUCCGUGCCAGCAGCCGCGGUAAUACGGAGGGGGCAAGCGUUGUUCGGAAUUACUGGGCGUAAAGGGCGCGUAGGCGGUCCGUCGCGUCAGGUGUGAAAGCCCCGGGCUCAACCUGGGAGGUGCACUUGAUACGGGCAGGCUCGAGUCCGAGAGAGGUGAGUGGAAUUCCCAGUGUAGAGGUGAAAUUCGUAGAUAUUGGGAAGAACACCAGUGGCGAAGGCGGCUCACUGGCUCGGAACUGACGCUGAGGCGCGAAAGCGUGGGGAGCAAAC